rnacentral:rRNA from 1 species
UACGAGGGGUGCAAGCGUUGCUCGGAAUUAUUGGGCGUAAAGGGUAGGUAGGUGGUCUCAUUUGGUCCGGGGUGAAAGCCUUGAGCUUAACUCAAGAAGUGCCCCGGAAACGGUGAGACUCGAGUACUGGAGAGGGUCGUGGAAUUCCCGGUGUAGCGGUGAAAUGCGUAGAGAUCGGGAGGAACACCAGAGGCGAAGGCGGCGACCUGGACAGUUACUGACACUCAACUACGAAAGCGUGGGGAGCAAACAGG